GUAUAAAAUAAAUGACACUGAGUAUUAUUUUUGGGGAAAAGAAUGACACUGAAAGCUUUUUCUUUAUUACCUGCAGAGGAGAAGAAAGUAAAGAGCACUAAAGUGGAAGCAAAACUUAAAAAGGAAGUGAAGGAUGGAAAAGGAGAAACAAAGGCGGCCGAGAAAGUCAAGCAGGCAGAGAUUAAACCAACAGAAAGCUCUUCAGACUGUAACUAAAUCGGACAAGAAAGAUCAAUAUGCGUUCUGUCGCUAUGUGAUUGACAUGUUUGCGCAAGGGGAUUUUUAUCCAGGACAUAAGGAAUUUGUACCACCUCGUCUUCUUCUAGAACACAGUCCAAGAAAGAAACCAGCAGCUGUUGACGAAGAAAAGUCUAUUGUGGUACCCAGAGAAGUGAAAAGUAAGUUGUUUUUUAUUAUAUUUCCCUUGUCUUCAUGUUAAUUUAUGCAAAGGAUAGGAGUAUAUUGUC
rnacentral:lncRNA from 1 species